rnacentral:rRNA from 1 species
CACGUAGGGUGCAAGCGUUGUCCGGAAUUAUUGGGCGUAAAGAGCUCGUAGGCGGCCUGUCACGUCGACUGUGAAAACCUAGGGCUCAACCCUGGGCCUGCAGUCGAUACGGGCAGGCUUGAGUGUGGUAGGGGAGACUGGAAUUCCUGGUGUAGCGGUGAAAUGCGCAGAUAUCAGGAGGAACACCGGAUGGCGAAGGCAGGUCUCUGGGCC